AGUAAAGUCAGCUAACUCAA
rnacentral:tRNA from 1 species